rfam:Nicotiana sylvestris Nsyl_contig146712, whole genome shotgun sequence.
AUGAUUGUGAUGAGGACAGUCUCUGAGUAGCCCCUUGAACCUUUCCCAAGCUGAGUAUAAAGAUUCUCCCGCUUUCUGUUUGAAGGCCACUAUCUCACUUCUGAUCUU